UAUUGUAAAUUCCUCUUCUCAUGUUGAAGUUGAAAAUGGAAACACCGGGGGAAAAAAACCAACAAGCUGAAAUGAAUCCAGAAUUAAAUUGCCAUCCAACUAUUUCCAAUUCAUGUACGACAAAAAAGAUGGCAAAAGCUUUUUAGUUAAAUGCCUCAUAGGUCACAAGACAAAGCCAAAGUUUAAUAAAAAAGGCGAGAUUGAACUUCUGACUAUUACCAACAAUUCUGGCUACAAUGCCAAGAGGCACAUAAGAACAAUACACCCUACACACCUAACAGAAUUUAACUCUGCUUGGCAAAUAAGAAACCAAGAACCAAGCGAAGAAAGACAGUCAUCUAAUCCUGUUCAGGCUAGACUCUCUACCACGAGAAAAGUAAAAAAGGCUAAUAAGCCUUCUAUAAAGAAUCAUUUGGAUAGUUCUUGGAAGUAUAAGCAGAUUAGAACACAGGAAGAUUUGGACAAAGCUAUCCUGAUGAGUUUUUCUUUACAUUAGUCAUAGUCUUAUCUCAUCUCAUCUCAUCCCCAACUAAAUAAAAUUAUUCUUAGUUA
rnacentral:lncRNA from 1 species